rnacentral:rRNA from 1 species
CACGUAGGGGGCGAGCGUUGUCCGGAAUCAUUGGGCGUAAAGAGCUCGUAGGCGGCUCGGUAAGUCGGGUGUGAAACCCCCAGGCUCAACCUGGGGACGCCACCCGAUACUGCUGUGGCUAGAGUCCAGUAGGGGAGUGUGGAAUUCCCGGUGUAGCGGUGAAAUGCGCAGAUAUCGGGAGGAACACCAAUAGCGAAGGCAGCUCGCUGGGACGUUACUGACACUGAGGCGCGAAAGCGUGGGGAGCAAACAGG